CUAAAGCCCUGUUUUUUCCUGCUUUUGAUUUGAGGAUCCAUGCAAAAUCACUGGCAGUCUCUCUAUGCUGCUCAGCAUAGUUUGAAAGUGUAUGUAUAUUAAUAAGUAAGAUUUACAGAGUAUUUGAUCCUGACAUCAAAACAAAGUGCUUUUCAGAUGCUGUGUUUGUAAAUAUACUGCCACUGAGGAGAAUCAAGCAGUUUGUUAACGUGGAUUUGGGGAGUCAUCCUACACUGACAACAUGACAUAACUAUUUUAGGGAGGGAAAGGAAGAACAAUUAUCCUUUUUAGCCUUCAGGGGAAUUUUAAGUACACAAAAUGUAAUUACUCAAAUUGAAAUUUACCUAGGAAGCCACAAUUAAACACCCUUCUCUCACAAAAAAUACAACAGGAUCAUAUGACAAUCAUGAGUUUCAAUUUAAAAGUGAGAGACUAUGACUGAGAAGCCAUUUAGUGUGUGCUGCUGCUUACCUCUCUCAGCUCUCUUUCACAGGCAUUGUGUUGCCAUAUUCUGCUCACCCCGUACACUCUUCUAGACCAAAGGCAACACAAGUGGCUUUUGACUGUGACUUGCACGUUCUGCUGGGGUAUCGAGGGAGCUCUGUCACUGCUCAUGGUGUUCACAUGCAACAACAUCGAUGUGUGUAUAUGGGCAAACACUCAUGAAAUCUUACUUUAAAAAAUAACCAACUGCUUUUAAAAUAUAGAAAUACCUAAUCUAUAAUUCAGGCAUUAAAUUGUUCAGAAUUUGCAUUUCUGCCUGUUUUCCCGUAGAAAAGGCAGCACUAAUCCUCUGGUUUAUCUCAAAGUGUCUGUAAGAAAAGUAUCAGCUCUACUAAUGUGCUAUAUGGGAACUCUAGUUCAUGUAUUUCAACAGGUGAAGGAUACGAUCCAGCAAAGACAUGGUUAUAACACAGCUGGAUCUCUGUAGGUAUCUAAAAGUCUGUCCCUAAUUCAUCAAAAUAAUUACACACCGCACAGAGAGUCAAUACGUAAUCUCAGUACAUGUCAUUUCAUAGCUGGCAGGCAGCCUUCGUGCCUAGAGAGGCUGGGCAGUUUCACCUCUGGAGUGCAAGCUCCCUUGCUUGCAGCCUGCCUGUAGGUUUUAGCAGGCAGACAUGGCUCUGUGCAGCACAGCCUUUUAAGGUGCCUGAUGAGGAAGAUCCCCCUGCUCCCACCACAUAUCGGCGUUUCAGCUGCAGAUAAUGAUUUCUGUGCAUAGUAACUUCCACAGUCGGUGGGAAUCUGGUCGGCACAGCGUGGGUUUGUCCACCUUUAAUCAGUGUGCAGGCAGGAGAAAGGCUGCCCACCCCUGUGUAGGGGUUGUUGCAUCUUGGGGAAUGGUUUGCUCUCUGGUCUGUCAGUAAGCCUGUGCUGAACAGGUCAGCCAGCGCUGCAUCAGAUUUUUGGGGAAGUCUGCAGGGCUGCUGGCUGUAAGGAUAAAGUUGUUUAAAAGGCAUCACUGCAUGAAGAGUAAUUACUGCACUACGGGUGUGUUUCACGGAGGCUGCAGGCUAUGUACAGUAACUGCGGGACCAGUGGUUCACCAUGUAACCUGCUGACAGUGCACCUAGGAACCACAGUUACAACCAGUCAUUGAUUUAUUUCCUGCUCAAAUGCUGUAAAACAUUUUCAAGAAAUGGAAGAAGAUAAAGGGCAGACUGCUAAAGCUACCAGUGCGGUGGGUGACUUGAGGAAAAGUUGGCAGACCUGGGCAGAGGACCACAUUGAGUAUCAGAGAAAGAACCCAUUCAGCAACAAUGACAGGCUUGCAUCUAAACCUGUGCAUACUCACAGAGGAGAUCCCACCUAUGGGAGACCCCCUGAAGGGUCUCAGACAGAGCAGAGAGGGAAGGAUGCUCACUCACACGUGGGUAAGGAAGUAGAAGAGCUGUGCUUGAUCAUUAGAAGCACUGGAGAGGUGGGAGAAGAUGGACAUGUGAGUGUGACAUUUGGGCAGCUGUUUGAAACAUACGUGACUAUUUCCAAUAAAGUAGUGGGAAUCUUGUUAAGAGCCAGAAAACAUGGUCUAGUUCAUUUUGAAGGUGAAAUGCUUUGGCAAGGAAAGGAUGAUGAUGUGAUCAUCACUUUACUAGAAUAAUGCUUUGUCAUCUAGUGAAUUCUGUUGCAUGGCUCCAUUUGGAAAAAUGUAUCCAGAUACCAUCUUGAAAGAGGUUUUUAUUACAGAAUUGCAACUCCAUUACUUACUGGGACAUGAACAGGUGUGAAAAUGGGUGGGAAGGAUAAAAGCUAUUUUUGUAAAAAUGGUAGAGAUUUGGACAGAAAUCACAAAUAAUGAACUAAUUCAUUGUGCUGUCAUUGGAUUGUCCUUUCAUUGUUAUCAUACACUACCAAGUAUACCACAGUUCUUAAAAUAUCUCUGCUGGCUUACUGCUUUAGGUUACUGAAAGUAUAAAUUACUAAUUUGCUACCAUACAACUGAUUCUUGCAGGUUGUGAAAUACUCACUGUGUGUGUGGUUUUGAUGUGUAAAACAUGGAAUUGAAAACUGUUAGCAGAAUUCAUAUACUUGUUCAAAGAAACAGCCUGAUAUAUAACAAAAGUUUAGGUUAUUUUGACAUAUGGAAUUUACUUUCAUGAAGUAUAUGAAAAUUACCAAAUUUACAGAAAUACCACAUCAAGGAUAUUUGAUGGUUCCUAAAUCAGUUGCAUCUUGCAUGUAUUUUAGAGCUGCACUAGUGCUGGUAUUUAAUAGUCUGUUCUGACCAUCAUACCUUCUCCAGACCUUGUGUGUCUCUUUGCCUCACACUAUUUUUACCUCUUCUGUUCUUCUAAUGCUGUGUCAUACCCUAGAAGAUCACAAUGCUCUGCAGCCUUCUUGGUGAAUUCAGCUAAUAUAGAAAGUAGGGUGCCACAACUUAAAAAUGUGAAAGACAACUAUUGAG